UACAGAGGUGGCAAGCGUUGUUCGGAAUUACUGGGCGUAAAGGGCGCGUAGGCGGCCCGUCAAGUCCCGUGUGAAAGCCCCCGGCUCAACCGGGGAACGGCGCGGGAAACUAGCAGGCUUGAGUUCGGGAGAGGGAAGCGGAAUUCCUGGUGUAGCGGUGAAAUGCGUAGAUAUCAGGAGGAACACCGGUGGCGCAAGCGGCUUCCUGGCCUAAAACUGACGCUGAGAUACGAAAGUGUGGGGAGCGAACGGG
rnacentral:rRNA from 1 species